rnacentral:rRNA from 1 species
UACGGAAGGUGCGAGCGUUAAUCGGAAUUACUGGGCGUAAAGCGCACGUAGGUGGUUUUAUAAGUCGGAUGUGAAAGCCCCGGGCUUAACCUGGGAAUUGCAUCCGAGACUGUCUGACUCGAGUAUGCUAGAGGGAAGUGGAAUUCCAGGUGUAGCGGUGAAAUGCGUAGAUAUCUGGGAGGAACACCAAUGGCGAAGGCAACUUCCUGGACCAAUACUGACGCGUCAUGUGCGAAAGCGUGGGGAGCAAACAGG